GGUUGAUAGGUUAUUUUUAUUGUUAGAAGAAAAUUCUCCGAUAAAAACAAAUUAGAGAGGCAUCAUCAGAUUAAAAAUAAAUAAUAUUUUAUUUGAUAAAAAUACGCAAACAAGAUAGAUCAUUAAUUGGCUGACUGCUAGUUCAUAAUUACUGGUCCGAGCAAAUCUAUUAGAGGGCAUCUAAAUUUAAAAGUAACUUUCUUCUAAUAAUCACUUAAGUGACUUUAGAACGAAGAAAUAUGACCGGAUCCACGCAAGUGAAUCCAUCUAUAUCAAGCUCUAUCGUCUCCUCCUGCGACGUCAGAAAACAAGAUACCGACAAAUGACGCCAUCGCGUGCUUUCAAUAGAAGAAGAGAACCAAAGCUUUUCCGUAGCGGCGUAGGUUGAGUUGCAGGCAAUGAAUGGUCAAAAUUCCAAAGAUCAGUUACGACCAGCUGCUGUAGAAAAACACGCCACAACGACUCUUGCAAUAAUGCGCAAUGAAAUGCUAUGCAGAAGAGACAAAAGCCAGAUGGCAUCCAUCGGGAUGGUGGUUUCCUGUCGCUUCUGCUUGUUGGGUAUUCUUGUAAGACGACGUCAACUAAAGCACCACGUGUCACGGAGUCCACUUGGUACCGCAAAUGUAGGCGUCACAUCUUCAGCCCCGCACCUCUCAUGGAAGCCGCAGCUCGGAAGAACUCGCUCAACCCCUUCACCGACGACCCGGGUCCGUCCCUCCAUGCCUCUUUCAUCAGCCCCCUUACUUCCUCCACCCUCCUCCUUAUCUCCUUCCCCCUUUGUCCUCCGUGCAUCACCUCUUUUACCACCUUCUCCACCACCACCCUGUCCGCCUUGGAGCUCUCCAUGUUCCCCCUCGCUACCUCCACGCAUACCCCCAGCUCCUCCUCCAUGAUCUUCGCGUUGUACAGCUGAUCCCCCGAUAGGGGCCACGCGACGAUCGGCACGCCUCGGCUCAAGCUCUCCAGCACCGAGUUCCACCCGCAGUGGCUCAGGAACCCGCCCGUCGACGCGUGCGACAAGAUCUCCAGCUGCGGUGCCCACCCGUGCACCAACACCCCUGUCCCUUCGUCUCUCAUCCGCUCCUCGAACUUCUCCGGCAGCCACUCCGCCUUGAACUCCCCCUUGACAUCGAACCCCACAGGAGGCCUGAUGACCCACAAGAACCGGGUCCUGCUCGCCUCCAGCCCCAUCGCCAGCUCCUUCAUCUGCGGCGCGGCGAUGGUGUUCUGCGAGCCGAAUGAGAUGUACAACACGGAUGCCGGCGGUUGAGAAUCCAACCAUUUCAUGAUGUGAUCGUUACCAGCGCUGGCUGAAGAAGGGGAAGAGAGCACUGGACCGACGGGCCAAACGGGACACGGAAGCACUUUGCGAAGCAUCCGCAACCCAGUCUUCUCCACCUCUUCGACGGUGUUGAUGAUCACGGCGUCGGUUUCCGACGAGAGAGAUAUCUGUCCCUGAAGGAAGUCCGACCAAGGAUCGGUGCCGUCGGCCAUGAGCAGGUGCUUCGGGAGCUGCGAGCGGUGGAUGAUGGUAUCGGGGAACUCAGGUAGCGGGAACUCGUCGGAAUUUGUCUUUCUGUGGGGUAGGUGAGUCCACAGCGAGGAGUCAACGGUCGUGCCAUAAGCUCCGCUGGUGAAAAAUAUGGAAUGAAAAGCUCCGAAACGGCGCGCAACGUGGACGCUCCAUGCAAAGAAGUUAUCAGCGAUGAUGCAGAGAGGCGGACGGCCGUCUUCCUGCGUUAUGUCUUCGAUGAGCUGCUCGAAAGCGGGCUGGAGGGACCGGGAGGCAUGGAGGAGAGUGACGAUCUGGUGGAAGGGGAUGGCCCCGGUGGUCUCAGCUUCAGGGGGGAGUCCGUGGGCGGCGGGGGAGAAAGGAAUGGAGCGAAGUCGAAUCGAAGAGAGGGAGGGAGGGCAGGACGAACUUUUAAUCUUUUGUAUGUUGAGAGGGGUGCUGACCAGAGUGACGAUGAGAGUGGGACAACGGCGGCGGAGGAGCUCGGCGAGGGCGACGAAGGGAGUGAUGUGACCCUGGGCCAUGAAGGGGAAGAGAACCACGUGUUGGCGCUCGCCGUCCUCCAUUGUUGCAAGGAUCAGUGUUCAGAGUGCGCUGUUGGGCGAGCCAUGGUGGAGGUCAUGUACUAGCUUUGGAUGUGGCAGUCAAUCAUGUCCACUCUUUUGUUUUGUUUUUCCUUUUUCCUUUUCUUUAUUCAUUGACAGGUCAUCAAAAUUAUAAGUUCAUCGUAUUUGGAUUCAGAUCGUCCGAGUAACUCAACCCGAUGACGUCCAUGUGCAAUUAAUCUAGUGGCUUCGCUGCCAUAUCCAUUGACGAUCAGAGAAAUAACAAGCAUAAUUUCUACCGACAAGCUUGGCAGCUCCAUCGCUUUUGCUAUAAGAAUCGCAAUUACAGCAGCACUUACGUCAGCUUCCUCGAUAAGGACGCAGACAAGCAUUAAUAUAUUUAUAUACGGAGCCUCGCACAGGAAUCUCCGCAAUCCAGCCUACAAGACUUCUAUUGGAUAAGAUAAAAUUUUCAGAUCGCACGGGAGAAUUUAUCGAAGAAUACCUCGUUUCCAUAAAUAAAUAAAUAUGUUCUACGGCGAAUGCGGAGAUAUCGAUAAGGAUCACAGUGACUGCGGAGUCGUGGCGAGGAGGAGAAUUCUUUACUUAUUAUAUUAUAUAUUUUUGAAUAUUAUUUGGAUAUUAUAUAUAUAAUAUUCAAAUAAUAUAAAAAUAUAUAAUAUAAUAAUUAAAAGUAAGAGUCGAAAAUUAUGUCGAAAGGCUAUUUUGUCGAAAUUGAAAAUGAGGAUUUGUCAAAUGUGUGAAAGAAUAAACUUUAUGGAAUAAGGAUUGGAUAUCAUAUUAAAAGAUGACGAAAUUGAUAUGUCAGAAGAUAAAAAAUUAAUAAAUAAUAUUUUAUUAAUAUUUUUGAUAGUAGUAAUGACUAUGGUAAUACCACCUAAGACGAUGAUGGAAUUAUGACAUCAAAGUUAAGAUAGUAAUAUCACUUUAUAUCAAUGUUAGUACUGCUUCUAUUUCAAAAUUUUAGAUAUUUAAAUUUUUAAUCAUAUUUUUGAAAUAUUAUGGAGACUAUAAAUACUCUGUUCAGACUUUGUUGAUGGUGCAUCUAUUCCUGAGGUUAUGAAAUAUUAUAAUUCUCUUUUUGAGUUUUGUUUGAGUCUUCUCCACUCUUUUGAGCGUAGUUAUGAUAUAAAGUAUUAGAUAUGAGAAGUCUAAUAUAAAAUAGUGAGUAUGAAUGUUCUUUUCUAAACCCAAAAUGAAAAAAAUAUUGUAAAUGUUGCUUAUCUUCAUCUGAUAGAAAUAAUGUCAGUAAUUAAUGUUGAUGGUAUCGAGGGAAGAGAAAUUAUGAGUGGAUGUAGGUUGGAAAGAUCAAACCACUAUAAAUCGAUUUGAAUUCUUUCUUUUACUUAUGAGUUUUUAUCUUUCUUACUUAUUUUUAUUCACUUUACUUAAAACUCUUACUCACAUUCAACACUCGGUUAAUUAUAUUUUCGAAAUGUGUUGUUUUCUUGAUCGAGUUUUUAAAUCAAUUAAUGCAUAACGUCUUUUUGAACUCAACAAGCAACUACAAAUAAGAUAAUAAUUAGAAUAUUACUUUGUUUUCAUGUCAUGUUAUUAUGCUAAAAUGCAUUUGAAGAGCCUUUAGUGGGGGCAAAAGUAAGACAUUUGACAUGCUUCUCAUAGAUCUAGUUGAAAGACUCUUAAGAAGUUUCGAAUGUGACCCAACCCAACUAAGUGUGCUUUCAAGGUUGGCUCUGAAAAAUUUUUAGGUUUCAUAAUCCAUCAAAUCAGAAUUGAUAUAAAUUUAGAGAAAGUGCAAACCAUCUCGGAUAUGAAGCACCAUCAUCUAUUAAGACAAUUUAGCAACUAACCAAUCAAAUCGUGAUUUAUGAUUGUCAUUCUUUUCCUAUCAAUCACACACUACCAUCAAUGCCAAGUCCUACUCGUUCGUCAUGGAGUUAACGACCACAAAAGACCACAUCCUUUGACUUUUCACCUUGGAUCUUAGAUGUCAAUGGGUCAGUUACAGCCGAAGGAGGUAUUGGGCUCAUCCUCCAGGAAGCAAAAAGAAUAUGAGCACUCCCUUCGCUUUGAGUUUGAAGUAACCAAUAAUGAAGCUAAAUAUAAGGCUCUUAUGUUGGGACUUCACAUUAGCAAAGAAAUGCUGAUAAGAAAGUUGAAGAUAUAUAGUGAUUCAUAGUUAAUAGUCAAUUAAGAUAAAGGAAUCUAUGAAGCUAAAGUUCCAGUGAUGACUCUCUAUCUCAUGGAGGCAAAGCGAGUGACCGCUGACAUUACCCUUUUUUAGUAUUGAGCAAAGUUUUCGGGUGCACAAUAUAGUGGCUAAUGCUUUAUCGAAGUUGGCUUAGGAGCUCCACCAUCUACCAAGAGAGUUGCAUUUCAUAAGCAAAGUCAAAAGAAGUAUCCAUAAAGAAGGGAUUGCAACAACUUCCCUUGAUCCCACCUGGAUGGGCGGAAUACUGCGAUAUCUAAUAAUCGGAGAUUUGCUAGCAGAUCUCAAGCAAGCUAGGAGAGUUCGAAGGUAGUCACCUUGGUUUUGUAUUAUAAACAAUAUAUCGCAUCAUAUUUCUCUCACCCAACUUCUUUUCUGCUAUCUACACCCCGAAGAGGCUACUCGAGCCUUAUUUGAAAUCCAUGAAGGAAUAUGUGGGGAACACGUUGGUGUUCAAGAUCCUUAGGUAAGGUUACUAUUAGCCCACAUUUCGCCAAGAUGCGAUAAAAUAUGUACAGUGAUGUGAUAGAUGUCAAUGCAAUGCUUAUGUUCAAAGGUUCCCAAUUGUAGAAUUGUUCCCUUUAGAUGUAGCCUAGCUAUUUGCACAAUGGGGACUUGAUAUCUGAGAUCAUUUCCCAUCGGCAUUGGGACAAUGCAAAUUUAUAUUGGUUGGUGUGGACUACUUUACUAGAUGGGUUGAAGCCAAACCAUUAGCUUCGAUCUAUUAAAAAAUAAGUGGAAAACUUUGUUUGGAAGAAUAUUAUCAUCAAAUUUGGUAUUCCAAGAGUCAUCAUCACCGACAACAAGAUCCAAUUUAACAACUUUAAGUUUAGAGACUUCUAUGAAUCAUUUGGAAUCUAUCUCUAUUUUAGCUCGAUAGCAUACCCCCUAACUAACAAAUAUGCUAAAGUUACCAAUCGAACCAUUCUUGAAGGAUAAAAAAAAUGAUAUUAAAAGUUAAAGAAACCAUGUUGAUGAACACCUAAGUAUCCUAUGGAGCUAUCGGACUACUCCAAGAGUUCUGACUGGAAAAUCUUUAUUUUUCCUUACAUUCAAUGCAAAAGUAAUGGCUCUAGUUGAAAUUAUUCUACUGAUAUCCGAACAUAAAAAUAUGACUCAAAAAGCAUUGGACGAGGGGCUUCGAGUUAACUUGGAUCUAUUUGAUAAAGUUAGGGUGAUAGCACAUCUUCGAAACUUAGUUUAUAAAAGAACAGUGACAAAGGCCUUCAACUAAAAGUUUCGGUCUUAGCAUCUCAAUGUAAGAGAUCAAGUCUUUCAUAAGGCCAAGAUAAGUGAUCCAACCUAUUCAUAUGAAAAAUUAGCACCCAAUUGAGAAGGGCCUUAUAAGGUUGUUGAGGAGGUUCGUUUGAGAAUUUAUCAUUUGUAAACCCUCGAGGGGUUGGACAUCUCCGAGACUUGGAUCAUGUAGCGGAGAAAGUACUAUCCUUAAGAGCAUAUUAAUCUUCAAUGUAAUUAUACUUUAAUAUAUACAUUUUUAUGGAUUAAAUUUUUUUCUAUUCCUCUAAAAUAAAAUCUUUACAUUAUGUUCAGUUUGGCCCACACAUCAAAAAGAGCCAUUCAACUAAUUUAGAGGGGUUGAGAACGAUAAGCAUAAACUUAAAGAACCGACUUGAAUUGAACUCCUACUAGUAACUAGUCUGAUCAUUACAAAGCUUAAAGCACUGUCUUGAUUGUCGAAGGGGCUAUAGUCGAAAAUAUCAUCGAUUUAGUUUUAUAGAAACUUAAUCUUACAAGGGAUGAUCUAGAAGAAAACAUCUAAAAGAGAAAAAUCUACAAACCCAAAUAAAAUAUUAGAAAUUAAAAGCUAAGAAGAUUAUAUCAAUAUUAAAAUAAACAGCACUACCAUAAAACAUCCAAACAAUAUAAAUUUUAAUGAAUUAUCUAAUAUUUUUUUAAGAUGAAGGCGACAUAAAUUUCUACAAAUAAUUAUUUCAAUUAAUGAAUUUCAUGAUUAGCAAUUAUUCAAGAAAUUUGAAUAAAAGUAAAUUUGAGACAAAUAAAAUAUCAUAGUCGGUUAAGUCAGAUAAGAUGGAUCACUCACAUCGAUAAUUAUUAUGUUAGCAACUAUUUUUGUCAGAUAAUUUCGUAAAUGAUGAAUGGUUUAAAAAAUUGACAAAAUUAAUUCGAAAGCAAAUCAAGAUCUCAUAACUAAUUGAUUUAUUACAAGAUGGAUCGCUAGCAUGGAUAGUAUUCUCAUAUCUUUCCGUGAAUGCUAACAACAUCACUAUCGAUUUUAUAAUUCACAUAAUAUUAAAUUUUUAAUUUUUAAUUUUGAAUUUUGAAUUUUUAAUUUUUAAUUUUUAAUUUAGAGAGUGAAGGUAGAAAUAUUAAAAUAAUGAACUUUUUGUUUAGUAAAUAUGAGGCUUUAGAGUCAGAAUUAAAGGCGUUGUGGUAAAUGAAAGAUUUAGAAUUUAUGAAACUAAGAAAUAUUGAUGUACAAAAUUUGAUAAUUUAUAUAAUUUUAAUAUUUUUAAUGAAUUAUUGAAGUUUAAUAUCACCAUCCCAAAUUAUUCUCAAGAGACUCGUGACAUUUGGGUAACCUCGAUAGUAGGCAAUCAUGACAUGGUACUCACAAAGCUAUGUUUCUUCUUCCCUUUGAUAACAAUCAAAAUUUCUCACAAUAACAACCUCAGUAACAGUACUUCAUAUUUAUACAUGUUUUGAAAUGUGAAUUUUCCUUAACGGUGAAGGAUUUUCCUCAACAGAUUUACGAUAUCUCAUCAUGUACUUAGGAAGAUCUUGACUAUUGUUGAGGUUGUUAACACGAAAGAUUUUAACUGUUAUUAUCCUUCACGAGAGAGGCACGACGAAGAACAGACGGAACCAUGAUUGCCACGGGCAACCUGUGGUGUUUCUUCUAAAAUGAUAUGUUAUUUAAAUUUAUAUGAAUUAAAGAGGCUCAUAUGAGGCCAGCAAAUCUUCUUAUACGAAGAGAGGAGAGGACUUGGGACCAGUGGAACCACGAGAAGGGAGACAGUCACCGAGAGAGGAUUCGGAAGGACAAGCGAUGAUCUUCCGAGGACCACAGGGACAAUGUGGAGAAAACGUGCGUUGUCGGGUAGAGCAGUAGAGGAGAGAGGAGCAGAAGAAAUCUGUGGACCCAAAGCUUCUCACUCUUCUUGUUCUCAAAUUUUUAAUUAUUAUUUUGGAUAAAAAAAAUCUUUUGAUUUCUGUUGAUAUUUUUAUUUCUAUUAAUCAGUAGAUAUUUGUAAAACAAAUUUGUAAUUUGCUUUUGUAUUUUUUAAAAUAUAUAAAUCGAAAAAAUAAAUUAUUUCUCUUGUUUGACGUUUUAAAAAAAACUAUGAUAAAAAAACUCAUAUAUUUUUUAUUUUAUUUAUAUUUAAACUUUGGAUUUCUUAAUCAAGCAUCCCUGAUUUCCAUCGAGGCUAAUUGCUAUGUCAGAGUAUCAUAGUGAUUAAGAUUAAUUAUUAAUUAUUUAAAAUUUUUAUUAUUUAUUUAAAAUAUUAAUUAGAGCAUCGGAGAGAUUACGUCGAGAAUAUUAUUCGAUCUCGACCAUCGUGCAUAUUAAUUAUUGAACUAGCAUUCAAACCACAUCAGACUAGUUAAUUAUUGAGCUUUUUGUUACAUGACAGCAUAGUCUGGGCUGCGAAAAAGGAUUUGGAAUUCGCUUUUAUAGUAGGUGUUUAUUUUUGUAAAAUUUACUUAUUUUUGGAUCAUGAUUUAAUCUUGUUCUAAUUAUAAUGGUGAUAUAGGAAUAAUGAUACCUCCUUACCAUAUGACCAACACUCGAGGCUGACACUUCACUUUCACUUGAUCGACACCUAUAUGAUCGACACAUCAUCGUGGUAGUCGAUUUCUUUUUACCAUGUGUCUGACACCUCAAAGCCUCACUAUCAUGUGGCUCAUAUCUCGGUACCACAUGCCUAACACUUAAUUGCUAUUUGUCCAAUGUGACUUCUCUCUCCACACGUUACAUCGCUAUAUAUAUAUACCGACAACUUUUGAGUUACUUUUACGAGACCAAUAGCAUUUAUUGGCUAUCGUCCAAUAUCAUUUAUAUGGUACAGUUUGCUAUGUGAGAUGUCCCGUCAUAGUAAUUCCAAUAGUAGAGGAUUUGUCCACGGAGUUGAAUCGAAUUGUUUCUAUACUUAGUUGAAAGAUAGUAAACAAACAACUUAGAGAAUGAAAGAUAAUACACCCAUAUGCACUAAUUUGAUUUUAUUAGACUACUCAUCUUACAUAAUCGGUAAUUUUAAUUAAUCGAUAAUAAUUUAUUUUAGUCGAUCGACAAACUCGGCACAUCUCCCAUGGAAGCCGCAGCCCGGAAGAAGUCGGCCAACCCCUUAAACGAUGACCCAACUCCCUCCCUCCAUGCCGCUCUCAUCAGCUCCCCGACUGCCUCCGCCCUCCUCCUCAUAUCCUUCGCCUUCUCUCCCCCGCACAUCACCUCCCUUAUCACCCUCUCCACGUCCGUCCGGUCUGCCUUCGAGCUCUCCAUGCUCCCUCUCGCCACCUCCACGCACACCCCCAUCUCCUCCAUCAUCUUCGCGUUGUGUGGCUGAUCCGCCAACAACGGCCACGCCACGAUCGGCACGCCUCGGCUCAAGCUCUCCAGCACCGAGUUCCACCCGCAGUGGCUGAGGAACGCGCCCGUCGACGUGUGCGACAGGAUCUCCAGCUGCGGCGCCCAUCCGUGCACCAACACCCCCGUCCCUCGCUCUCGCAUCCGCUCCUCGAACUUCUCCGGCAGCCACUCCGCCUUGAACUCCUCAUUGCUGUCGAACUCUGAAGGCGGUCUGAUGACCCAUAUGAACCGUGCCUCGCUGGCCUCAAGCCCCGUCGCCACUUCCAUCAUCUGCGACGCCGUGAUGGUGCACAGCGAGCCGAACGAGACGUACAAAACGGACGCCGGUUGUUGUGAAUCCAACCAUUCCAUGAUACAUCGAUUUUGGCUAGCGCUGGCAACAGAAUGAGAGGAGAUCAGCAGAGGACCGAUGGCCCAGGUGGGAACAAGAAACAAUUUACGCAGCAUCCGCAGUCCUGUGGCCUCCAUCUCGUCUACCGUGUUCACAAGCAUGGCGUUUGUCUCCUUCCAAUGAGAUAUCAGUCUCUGAUAGAACCCUGAGGUCGGAUCGGUGCCGUCGCAGAGAAGCAUGAAUCUCGAGAGCUGCGAGAGGUGGAUGGUUGUGUCGGGGAACUCGGACAGCGCGAACUCAUCGGAUCUCGUCUUCAGGUGAGGUAGGUGAGUCCACAGAGAGACGAAUACGGCCAUGCCGUAAGCUCCGCCGGGGAUGAAUACGGAAUGAAACACUUCGUACCGGUGCGCGACGUCCGCGGUCCACGAGAGGAGGAAGUCGGCGACGAUGCAGAGCGGAGGACGGCCGUCUUCUCGAGCUAUGUCAACGAUGAGCUGGUCGAAGGCGGGCAGGAGGGAUUCGGAGGCGACGAGGAAAGUAAGUUUCUGGCGGUUGGGUACAGUGGCGAAGUUCUCGGCGUCAGGAUGGAGGCCGUGGGCGGCGGGGUCGAAGGGGAGGGAUCGAAGACGGAUGGAAGAGGGGAAGGAGGAGCUACGGAUGCAUUGGAUGUGGAAACGGGUGUUGACGAGGGUAACGGUGAGGGCGGGGUGGUGCCGAACGAGGCGGUGGGCGAGGGCGAGGAAGGGGUUGAUGUGGCUCGGAGUCAUGAAGGGAAAGAGAACCACAUGCUGACUCUUGAUGCGCUCCAUUGAUGACACAAAUUACAGGCGUCGGGCUGCCGAUUGUUGCGGUGGUGGGGGGAUGAUUUAUAAAGAGAUUCUCGAUGGCUUUGGACUGUAGUCGUGUCACACCAAAGAAAUCGAUUGACGCCACCAGGCGACAUGGCUCAGCCACACAUGGGAAUAGGUUUCCCCUCCCCCUCCCCCUCCGACGAUAGCAGCCCACAGUAUCGGAGAUGAAUUGAGUGCAAACGUUAGCAGCAGCGACUUGGAACUUGACAACAUCUUUCUUGGGAGCAUCGAGGUGGAGCUGUCCUGUUGACUGUCAUUGUUUUGUGUACGACAUGCAUUCAUUGGUUCACGAUUGAAAUAUCUUUCAUGCAAUUGCUGACUUUGAGACCUCUUUUUCUUUUGCUUUUUUACUUCUUAAUGUAUUUUAAAUUGAUUAUUGACGAGGACAGAACAUAUAGUACCAAAUAUAAUGGUCCAUUAAUAUAUCUUCAACUCAGAUAUCUCACAGUUACGUCGGUGUAGCACUUUCGGACAAAUCGAGACGUGCCAUAGUACCUUGCUUACAUUAAACAUGCAUCUACACAUUUGCAUUGGUUACAUCAUCAAGAUGAUGAUAAGAUAGUAUCAGCUUGACCCUCGGUGUUAGAAUAUACUAAACGUUAGUUUCAUGCUGCGGAUUCACUGUAUUGCAAUAAUGGUCGUCCUCUCAAAUAGUGUACGAUCUGAAGAGGCAAUUGUUGGGGCCCUCGUUGAUCUCGAGUCAUGAUUUCUUCGACACACCUUCACCCAUAAAAAAGUGACUCUCUCCUUUGUUCCAUUAGAUGGACGGCCGCCCCGCAAAAUCCGGGAAGUCAUCCUCAUCUUUUUUUUUUUCUCUUUAAAUAUUAAAUUAGACAAGAAAAAGAGAUAAAAGCAAUCACAUAAACGAAUAAAAUAUUUUAUGUUUCACUCAUGAUUUUCUACAACUUUAAAAACUUUAUAUAUUUCAUUAUCUAACAUAUGAGGUUUAUAUAUUAAUUAUAUUUAAAAUAAAUUAUUCUUUUUUAAAAUAAUUUUUAAAAAUAAAUAAAUAAUUUAAUUUAUCAUUUAAUUUCUUCUCUUGAUACAAUGAAUCUCUCUUGAUAUAAUGAACCUCUUGAUGAUACCUUAGCAAAUUUAAUUUCAACACUAAAGAUGUACCCUCUCGGGAUGAUGCUAAGAGUGAGCGAAUAAGAGUAAUCUCUACCAUUGGUUUUCAAUAAAUCUUUCUUUUUUCUUUUUAUUUUAGGUAAAUCUUCACGUGCCUAAAUGCAAGAGCCAAAUAUUAGAGAGUCAGCAAGGCUGUCUAGAAUUUACCAUAAAUAUCUCUCUUUCCCUUUUAUUCAUGCUUACCAAGCCCAUGUCGCAAUGCAAUACCCUCUAAUCUUAGCAUAAGAGAAGAAUUAUUGGUUGAAACUCAACAACAUUUCUCUCUCUAUUUCAUAGACAAAUCUUUAUGAACCUAAGCAUGGGAGCGAGAUGACAGGGUUUGGUUGGAAUCCAUCGAGCAACACAAUGUAGGUUGUGGCCAGACUAAAUAUUUUUAUUGGUGAACGGGAUCACUAUUUACAAUUCUAUUUUAAAAUGUUUUUAAACUAUCCUUUGCAUUGUAAGUAAAUUUUUUUUUUCUUCUUUCUCCUCCUCGAAGACCAACGACGUCGAGAGAAUAGUGAGCAGGGUCGGACAACUUGUCGACAACAACGAUCAGCAUCGACAACGACAAUGAAGGUCGAUCAUAACAACUAACAACGAGUUGUGAGAAAAAAAAAAAGUAAAAUAAGUAGUAUUGAGAUUAAUAAUAAUAAAAAUAUAUUAUUAUUAUUAUAUAAAAAAAUAUCAAUAGUAAAAAUAGGUGCUUCAAGUUUUAUAUUAAGAAAAACUCUCGCCUACACCUUUGAUUAGGUAACAAAUGUAAAUAUUCAUAGUAGUAAAGCAACUAGAAAUCAUGAUAAUAAUAGAUUAUCUCUUAUAGUUAACUAUCGUUAGCAUCCCGAUCUCUAUACUUUAAAAAGUAACAUUGAGAUCCAUAUAUUUACGAAAGUAAAAUAUUUAACCUUAAUUCUCCUUACGUUGUUAACUUCGUUGACGAAAAAAAUGCACUUGUUAUUAUGUGUAAAAAUGACAUGAAUGAAAAGGAUAAAAAUAUAAUCUCACUAUCUUUAAACUAUUAAUUUUAUAUAAAUUUUUUUUGGCCAAUUUCCUUAUCCCCAUUCUCUUUUCAACCUACUCGUCCGUCCAUCGUAUCUAUCGCUCGUCACUUGUCCGUCGCACCUACUCUCCGGUCAUGUGUCUACUGUUGAUCGUAAAUUUCAAGAAGAUACAUAAAUACUAUUAAACACAAGUUACAAUGUUGAAUGUGCAAGAAAAAGUAACUACUUCGUUGUACCAACAUCAAUAGCACGACGAUAGGAACUACGCAAGAUAUCACAAUAAUAGUUGGUGCAGUUAAGUGGCAUCAAAACAAACAUUCCUAUUGCCCUCGAUUCGACCAUUUGAAGGAUUUCAAGAUCAAUUAACACCUCGGAGAGAAAAUGGUGAUGAUUUGCAAUGAAUAAUUUGUGGCAAGGAUUCACCAUGAUUUCAUUCAUCUUCGCGUUGAAUGAUAAGAAGGCAUAUAACAAAGAGAGAGGAGGUUUCGAGAAGGAAAUAAACCUUAAAAGUAAGUGAUCCAUUCUGUAAUUUUGUAAGGCGAGAAGAAGGUACUAAUCCACUCAGUUCAUCGUUUGCCAAAUCUCUGCAAGCAGCUUCGUGAUGUUAAGCCUAAAUAGUUUCAGCAAAGGAAUCAUACAAGUCAUUAGGAAUACUUACACUUCAGUGAUGGCAGAUAUGCUAGAAAAGCUGGUACUGACCCUGUCAAUUUAUUGUAAGAAAAAUCCCUGCAUAAUCGAAUACAUGUUGCCAAGAUUACACUGCGAAGCUGAUAUCACCAACUCCAGAAGAAGCACUUACAAGUAUUGGAUUUCACUGAGGUUGGCAAAAGAAGUUGAUAUUUCGCCUCUCAAUGCGCAUAUUUCCUUUUGCUUCCUAAAAUUCCUUCGAAACUCUUUGAAUCAUGUUAGCAUCAUUAUGAAUAUAAAUUACAUCAUCUAUAAAUAAAUAAGCAAUUAAUAUCCUUUCUACUUCUCUAUAUUUUACAAAUAAACUAUGUUCACAAGGAUAUUUUUCAAGUCAAUGUCUUAAGAUAUGCAUCGAUUUGACAAUAUCAUAUUUUGGAUGCUUGACUUAAUCCAUAUAAUAUUUUUUUUUUAUAUUUUAGCAAAAAUUAUUGCUCACUAUAAAUAACUCAUCAUGCAAAAAGAUAAAUUUAAUAUGCAACCGAUAAACAAUCAAUUAUGCAAUUAGUGCAAACACCUCAUUAUUCAAUUUCCAACAAAUUCAAUACUAUAGUCUUAUUUAUACAUAAAAGACUCAAAUCUUUUCGGAACGAAGCAUUUAGGCAAAAAAAUUAUGAUUUGGUAUAAAUAAACAACAUUAUUUUUUACUAUUUCAUAAUUUUUAAUAUAUAUUAGAUGUUAAUGAAACACAUUUGCUUCCAUCAUCAAUCAAUAUAUUCAGUGCAUAAAGACCAAGUUUUCCAAUACAUUUUAUUUAAAAAAUAAUAAUUUUUAUUUAACAUGAUUUAUUUUUAUUACAAAAGAUAAGUGAUAAAGGCGAGACUCGAAGAUAUUAGCCUUUAUAGGUCAUUAUUAAAUUUAAUUUAUAAUAAUCCCUUACAUAUUAUAUUGUCUUGGGAAUUUUACAUAUAUAUUAAGUUCAAAAAUAACAUAUAUGCCCUAUAAAUUCUAUCGCGACAUAUACAUUCCUCCGUAUGUUAGCACUCAUUGUUGUGGUAAAUAACCUGGAGCCGUGGCCUCGGGGCCGACACGGCUCGGUUCGGGUCCGAAUGACGGGGGAUCUUCCCGUGACGGGUUUCGAGUCCGCCGAGGUGGUCGGUUACGACGGUCCGAUUCGGGACGGGGUUAGUCGUCUCCGCUGGUGGGGCCUCCUCGGCGGGGGACGCACCCCGUCUUCUUUCCUGCACACAGGUCAGGAGGCUCGACCCGACCCCUCCGACGAUCGAGUCAGUAGAUAGUGGAGGGGGUUUCGGAAGAAGAAGAGUUUGAGGUGUCUCCCUGGUGUAUUCUCUCCUCCGUCCUCCUCUCCCCGCUCGUUCAGAGUGCGAGGGUAUUUACAGGGAGGCUUACUGUUUCCUGAUGUGCCCACUUACAGGGGACAGGUUGGUUGCGUCUGACAUUGGUUUGGCGUGACGUGAAGAACUGAGCCUGAGCAGGUGUUAAUGCACCUCAGCCUGUGUUCCGGUCCGUUUGACCAAGCGUCGUCACGUCGUUCGAGACGUGAGACGUCAUCUGACGUCAGCCGGGUCUUAUCAUAAUUACUAUCCUCAUCAUCCAAUAAACUAUGGUUGAUCACUACUAAUCAUGUUUAUCAUCGAUGUUAAAGAAUAAAAAUGACAAUAUAAUUAAAAUUUGUUUAUCAUCAACUAAAGAGUUGGAUGUUCAAAAGUAAUUGACUAUUUAAGGACAAUGGAGGAGGAGGAAGAAGAAGAAGAAAAGAAUAAGAUGCCAUCGCCAUGAUAUGAACAUGCAAUAAUACUGCAUCUUCCUCACAAGAAUCCAACAGUUGUUUACUAGAAAAGCUCUAAAGUGCUGCAGUCGUAGUUAGGUUUGAUGGGCAAUCAAGAUUCUUGAUGAGGACAAGAAUAGGUUGAAAGUCAAUUCACAGGUGAAGAAAAAUCUUGAUGAGGACAAAAGUUCAAUAUAAGUCAAUAGUUAAGUAAAACAGUGAUUGUUGAUGAGGACAAAUACAUCAUAAUUUUCAAUAUACAAGUCAAAGAUCGACCCUUUAAUUAUUGAAGUAUAAAAGAGAGAGAGAGUUGUAUUUUUUUCUCUAAAAAUUCAUAUGACGUAACUAAAAAUAAAAACCCAAUUGGAUUUUCUUUUUAUUUUUGUGACUUAUAAUAAGCCUUAAAACUCGCUAAAUAAAUAAAUAAAUGAGUACCAAUUAAGUAAAGCUAACAUUUUCUAUGGCUAAAAUAUGGAAAAUAUGUAGUCCUCCCUCAAAGGCAAAAGAAAAAACAGUUCUCUAAGAGAGAGAGAGAGAUUUAUUGUCUAUUUAGUCUUUUCUAGAGAGCGGUGGGUUACAUCACCGGAGAAUUAACGAGGGGGGCCGGCGGUGGCGCCCCGGCACUUCUCCGCUGGCGGGUAGACCUCUGGCGACGCAUUUCAAGGAUCUGCCGGUGGAAGUUGGAGUGAUCGGCGGGGGAAAACGUGGGGCUGCUCGCUGGCCGGUACUCCGGCACGAGGCGACCGGACUUAUACCUCACGCCGCACGCGUUGCACAGCGUCUUGGGCCCUUCCGGCCCCGCCCGCCACUGCGGCGUCUCCUCCGCCUCGCAGUGGCGGCACCGCCGCCUCUCCACGGCCGUCGACUUCCCCGCCACUGCCACGGUGGGAGGUUCGGGCGAGAGGCCGGUCAGCACCCUCCGGCGCGGCCUCCGCCCUUUGCUCCUCGGUCGAACCGGCGCGGAGAAUGAAGUCGCGGCGGAGAAGGCCGAGACCGGACUCUUGCGCUCUGCCACCGCGCCUACGGUGGCGCCGUCCCAGCCCUCGCUGCCUCCGCUGCCGGUGCGCGGGCGGGAGGGCAUCUCGAACGACGUCUCCAGCGCCGGAAAUGCGUCCUUGUUCGCGAGCCACUCGAGCUCCUCUUCCUCCUCGUCUCCUCCGCCUUUCCCCUCGGUCGGCAAGCCCUAGAAAGGUGCCACCAAACGCAAGAGAAAAAGAAAGAAAAAAAAUCAGAUUUUUAUCAUCUUCCAAGCAUAAAAAUCAGAUUUUUCGGGAGGUCGGUGCCAAACUGGAAGCCCUUCGACGGAUGGCUCAAAGAACUCCUGCAAAAUUUGGGCCUGAUGCUUCAACUCGGCGACGGACGGAUGGUAAGGGUCAGAGGGUAACUCAAGGAGGAGGACCUCGUCCGCGAAGCACGCCUCCCCCGCCGUCGCCGGCGCCAUUUCCAACGUCUCCACCAUCGCCUUCUCCGACAGCUCGGAAGCAGCGGAGACCAACGAGAGAUAAAAGGCAGCAGUUUUCUUCCUACUCUUUUAUUUUCCUUGUUCUUUUCUUUCUUUAUGUCUUUUUGGCGGUCUCUGUUUCUUGCUUCUUCCUGUUCACCUUUUAACCAUUUCGGCUCUGUUUUGGGUCUCUUCAUUGCCAUUAAUGUCUGAGAGCGAUUCGUGUACGCGUGGGAACAAAUCGAUGUUGUGAGGCGAGUCAUUGUGGAUGUUUUACUACCCAACGGAGGAUGAAUUUGCUCGGGCAUUCGUGUGAACCAUAUCGAGAUAAGGAAAGUAUUUAAAUAUCAAAUGAUGAGAAGAGAGAAGGAAAAUUGUAUUUGGCAGUGCUUUAGGCAUUCAGAUUCGCAUGCAUGGGAUGAGGUGAAAGGGUGCUUCUGCCGAGGAGUGUAUCAUGUUGUGUGAAUGGAUGUAAUGUAAAUGGUAAUAUCACGUUAAAGUUUUCACGGCGGAGAGUGAGUUCAUAACAUACAAAUUUAUUUUGAUCAGUUGUGUUUUUAUACCACCGAUGAUGUUAAAAGAGGUUUGAAAUGAUGAGAUUUCACCUUUAAGACUAAUUCAUAUUUGGAUUCUUGCUUCUUAUAUUAUCUUUUUUUCUAACCAUGUUUAAUUUUAAUUUUAAAUUUUUUUUAUUGUAUCGGUUUAUUUUUAGUAUGAUUAAGUUUUAUUUUAACCCUAUGAUUUUAGUCAUGGAGCAUUUAAGUCUUUAUGGUUUACUCGUGUCUAAAAUAAUCUUUAUAUUUUUCAAAAUGUGGUAUAUAAGUCUCUCUCGUCAAGUUUAAGUUAAUAAAUGUUAGAAUCUACUUACGUGAUAUAUUAACUCAUAAUAAACUAUUAAUAUAAUGAUACGUAUAAUUUGAGUUUUAAAAAAAUUAAGAUCCAUUUUAACUCUUGUGAUUUUGGUCAUAGAUCACUUAAGCCCUUAUAGUUUAUUCAUGUCUAAAAUAACUUUUAUACUUUUAAAAAUAUAACAUAUAAGCCUCUCCCAUCAAGUUUGAGUUAACAAACGUUAGAGUUUACUUACGUGGCAUGCUGACUCUUAAUAAAUCAAUAAUAUAAUGACAUAUAAUUUAAGUUAAAAAAUAAUUGAGAUCACCAUCAAUGGCGAGAGGAUGCAUUGUCGCGCGAAGGUGACCACCAACAACAACACUGAGUCAUUGUUGCAUGACAAAGCAUUGUAUGCAUGUAGCCUCUCCGACGUUGAUGACAAGUUCAAGAGCUUUUGAUUUUGUCUCAAGUGGAUGUGCAUCAACCAAUCUGACGUUAUGCAGGUAGUGGUCUUCUAGUCCCUCUUUAUCCUCCUAGCAUCUUCGUCCUUACCGCCUCCCAAUUUGUCCUCUCCUACGCCACACCUACAAUGUAUUGGUCCAACUCUCCCUCACUUCCGCCUCCGGUCUCUCCUACCUCUACCUCUCCACCUUCAUCCGUCGCUACGGCCUCUGACGCUUUCUCUUUUUCGACAAGAUGAAUCUUAAUUAUUUUUUAAACUUAAAUUAUACUUAUCAUUAUAUGCUACGUUUUUAAAAAUAUAAAAAUUAUUUUAAAUACUAGUAAGCUAUAAGAGUUUAAGUGAUCCAUAACAAAAAUCAUAACGAUUAAAAUGAAUCUUAAUAUUUUUUUAACUUAAAUUAUAUAUUAUUAUAUUAAUGAUUCAUUGUGAAUCAACGUAUCUCUAAUAUAUAUAUUAAUUUAGACUUAACGAAAAGAAAUAUAUUAUGCUUUUUUUAAAUAUAAAAAUUAUUUUAGAUAUAAAUAAAUCAUAAAGACUUAAGUUAACCAUAAAAUACUUAACUAAUUCAUGGUCAAAAUCACAAAAUAAACUUUUAACCCUUUUUAGUAUUGUCUUAAAAGAUUCCUCGCUCUGCAUUACAUAUCCAUAUCUUAAGAUCGGGAUGGACUUCUUCACCAAAGUUUAUUACAGCUCAUCAUCUCUCCAUCAUUCCCAAACGGUCUACUCCUCUCUCAAAUGAUCUCAACCAUCCGUGUUGUCGAUCUUGCAACCUAAUCUCGACAUCCCUAUCCAACCACAUCUUUCGGAGCACGAACAAUUGCUGCACCCAGAUGAUCCGAACCAUCGAUCUUGUCGAUCUCAUGUCCUUCAUCUUGCGAUCCCUAUCCCACCAGAUCUUUUGAAUGGUGUUGGAUUUUGUGGUCCAGCACACUGUCCAAGCUUGGCCAGAAACCCCAAACAUCCAGAGGCAACAUGGUGACAUACAGCACAACUUAACAUCUACCAAUCCACCAGCGUGCUGAGAUGCUUUUCAACAUCUUUCUGCUUCUUGGACAAGAUUCCAUAUAAAGCAAAAGUAAAGCAAGAACAUAAUUAAUCCGAAUAAUCAUAUUAUGUAUAUCCUACAUCCUCCAAAGUUGUUCUUAAUAAAGCAUUCUAAUGUAAGCAAUAUAAAAAGUCUCUAAAGUACCGCAGUAGGCAUCACACAUUUUAAGACUGAUGAAAGCUGAGCAAGGAUCAAUCAUUCAAUCAAGCACCAAGAAGAAAAGAUUGUCGCAGAACCUUUGUCCCCUACCUCUGUGCCAGUGUCAUCAUGCACAGUAAGGAGUAACAUGCAGUCCAACAUUGAUUGCUUGAGUAUUCUUGAAGAACAAGUGACACGGUUCUUGGAAGCACAUGAAGCUGGGAACACAAAUAUCUUAUACACAUGAAACAUGCAUUACAUGAAACAAACACAAAGAUCAGUUUCACGACUGAGCUGCAUAUGUAGCUUAGCAACUUCCCCGAGUGUCAAAAGGCAUUUUGGUUCCCAUCUAAAUGAUUAGCAUUCACUAACUUAAGAAAAAGAAUAUAUAUAUAUAUAUAUAUAUAUAUAUAUAUAUAUAUAUAUAUAUAUAUAUAUAUAUAUAUAUAUAUANNNNNNNNNNNNNNNNNNNNNNNNNNNNNNNNNNNNNNNNNNNNNNNNNNNNNNNNNNNNNNNNNNNNNNNNNNNNNNNNNNNNNNNNNNNNNNNNNNNNNNNNNNNNNNNNNNNNNNNNNNNNNNNNNNNNNNNNNNNNNNNNNNNNNNNNNNNNNNNNNNNNNNNNNNNNNNNNNNNNNNNNNNNNNNNNNNNNNNNNNNNNNNNNNNNNNNNNNNNNNNNNNNNNNNNNNNNNNNNNNNNNNNNNNNNNNNNNNNNNNNNNNNNNNNNNNNNNNNNNNNNNNNNNNNNNNNNNNNNNNNNNNNNNNNNNNNNNNNNNNNNNNNNNNNNNNNNNNNNNNNNNNNNNNNNNNNNNNNNNNNNNNNNNNNNNNNNNNNNNNNNNNNNNNNNNNNNNNNNNNNNNNNNNNNNNNNNNNNNNNNNNNNNNNNNNNNNNNNNNNNNNNNNNNNNNNNNNNNNNNNNNNNNNNNNNNNNNNNNNNNNNNNNNNNNNNNNNNNNNNNNNNNNNNNNNNNNNAUAUAUAUAUAUAUAUAUAUAUAUAUAUAUAUAUAUAUAUAUAUAUAUAUAUAUAUAUAUAUAUAUUCUAAUAUCGAUAAUCUUCAUCAGAGGACUACAAUAGAAAUGCCAAAGUUUUACAUCCAUAUGAAUUUUCAGGAUGCUACAAUUCAUGUUUUAAGAAGCAUCUGAUGUUACAGUCGCAAUUGUUUGUGUAAUCAUAUUGACAGCAAGUAAAACACACAGUAAGACACAAAGUAAUCAUAUUGCCGUGGCCCAUGAUAAUCCAUUUUCUUGCACAAAGAAUCUCAUAUAUCGACAAAAAUGUAUGCAAAAAAGCUAAAGAAUUUAUCAUUAUUAUGUCUCACAUUCGGUUCGAUAAAAGUAUUUCCAUCGUUGUUAAACAUGUAAUGGAAGAGUUACAGAGAAUUAAUAAUAGAGCAUGUACUAAAAUAGAAAGAAUAUAUCAAAUUCAAUAUGUAGGGAAGACAACAACGGCAACCUACCUUGGAAGUUAUAACAUUGUUGUAGGCAUGUGUUCUGACAACUUGUGAACAAGCUCAUCAAAUUCACUCAAAAUGAAAUAUCAAAAUUCACUUAUCCACACAACUAUAAUUUGAAAAUUCUCUUUCUGUCAAGUAGCUUCAGAUUGCACCUAUGAUGGCAAACCAUACUUGAGCAAUUAGCCUUAUCUUCAAAUCAAUCUUGAUAGAAGUCAAGUCUGACUCCUUUGUUCAUUCUUCCAAGAAUUCUUAGCAGCUUCAGCAGAUGAAGUGCCAGACUCACCAUUACCAUCCUUAGGCUUAGAGAAGAAAGGAUCCCACUCAUGUGGCCCAACUGUUCGCUGACCAUCCUCUAACAAAGCAUACUUCCAGCUGUUCUCUUCAAUGACAUCCUUUUCUUCGUGGCCUUCAAUCAUGUCCCUUCUUAGUCUUGUAACUUUGUCGAUGAUUGCCUGUACAGCCACAUCAAAGGCAUCAUUAAGAGUCUCCAACUUAGACCUAGGGUCUGCAUAUAUCAGGCUUGGUAUAAGGCUUAUGACUGUCUCUCUCAUUGUUUCCACAACAUGUGGAGGGAUUUGCUUUAACCUUUCCUCGAUACUGACACUCCUCUUUCGAAUAUCAUCCUCAGGUAUAAACACCGAGUAUGUUGAGUAGUUUCUUGGGAGAUGCCAUGUAUAUUGUAUAUAAGCAGAGCCAGGAUGAAAGAAAACAGGUAUGCAACCAGCCAAAAUGGAGUCAAAAGCUGAUCUCCUUGUAUAUGAAUCUCCCUGUGGUUGUAAGCAAAAUAAAGAACUCUGAAACAUCUGCAUUAUGCUGCUUGGGGAGUGACACUUGCUCUCUCCAAAAUCACACUCCAGCAACUUACAAACUUUGGACCUUUUGCACUGAUCUAUGAUCUUCCCUCUGAUUGAUUCUGGAUUAUCAGGGCGUGGUGCACCCGCAAAUGAGAAGAGAAACUUCCGCUCCAACUUCCUCAUCCGGUCCUGCCAAAUGAAGACAUCAGCAUCCUUUGCUGGGUGAAAGUAUGUAGGAUAAGGUAUCCCAAAAUCAUUAGCAUUCCAUGGGCUCGCUUCCACAACCAGCAUCGACAUGUUUCUUGCAGCUGGCAAGAAUAGAAGCUUGUUUCCCCAAUCUGUUUCAGAAUCAGUCAAUCUCCUGAAAUCCCAAGUAAUUCUCCCUGCCACCAAGAAGUGGUCCCUUCCCCCCAUCACACUCCAUUCAGGCCUCUUCAUGAGCCAUUCAACCAAAUCCAGAGAUGCAGCAUCCCUGACUGAGGUAUUGUAUCCCCAAAGAUAUCGAGCUAUGUCAAAACCAGCAUAGAAGGGCACGAAGAUAGCAGCAGCGAUGGAUGGAUCUUCUGUCAAGCACUCAUACUGCUUCAUCCGGUUGUUGAAGAUCACAUCCACCGCGAACUGAUUAGUGGCGUACCAUCCUGUGUUCGAGAAGACCCCAUCUGAAUUCUCGAGCGGAGGCCCCAUGCCAGCAUUGCUUGUGAACUUGCACAUGUUGAUCCAAAGGCUCAACUUUCGGCAAUCUCUAAGCAUGUCAGCGUUGAACCGGGAAGGGAGAUCAUGGACGUAGAUAUACCUCCCACCGCAAGGGUCGCUUUUGUUCUCGAUGGUCUGGAGGGCACGGGUGAAGGGGAACGCCUCUGGUGCUUGACGGGUAUCUGCUAGUUUUGAUUUGGUCGGCGCCUUCAUUUUGGGCAGUUCAAGUGCUUCAUAUGCUUCCGAAAUCCGCUGGGGUUUGGACGAGAUGGAGGAGAAGGGAACGGGUUGGUCAGGAUUGCUGAUGGGGUUGCUACUGAGAACGGUGAAAUGGAAGUAGAAGAUCAUGAUCCAGAACAUGACCGAUAGGGUGGCCAAGAAGCAGAGCCGAGAUGGCGGAGGCUUGCCGUUGGCCUUCUCCAUCUCCUCCUGAUGGUUGAACGCCGAUGACCGCCGUCUCAUGAGAUUCUGACCCAAAAUCAGCUCAACUGAUCGAUCCGAAAGGAAUGAAUUCUUAUCAAACUGAGAGGAGCAGAUCCAAUUGGCCGCUUCUACUGAGCCCUCCCCAAAAUCCAAAUGAGACAAGAGGAACUACUACCCAACAGUCUUCGGAGCCCUCAAUAAAAAAAACUCUCGCUAAAAAUCAUAUCUUUCAUAUAGACUACGAAACAUUUCACUUUCAAAACCCCUAAAAUUACAAAAUUUUGCAGGAAAUCAGAUCCCAGAUCGGGAUUCCCUGCCUGACCGACAAAACAAUUUAGAACCUAUCAAAUGUCACUACAAAAUUCCAUAUUUCCUUCUAAAAUCCCAACAGGAAGAGAAAGGCCAACCAGUCUCGAUUUGCACCGACAAAGAUGGUAACAAAUAGUGAAGAAAAAAAAACACAAAUUUCGACGGAGUUACAAAUGAAUUAAGAGGAGGCAAUGAGAAGAAUGGAGUGAGAGACGGGAAGAGAAGACUCACGGAGCAAUCGACGCCGCGAAGAGGGGAGAGAAGGCUUUCCUUUUCACCCACGCUCAAUGGGGUAGAUCUCGGGAAGACAGCAACAGCCGUUGGCGUCACGGAGACUCUGGCAUUCUGUCUUAUGGAAAAGGGCCGGGAGACGCGCACGCUAGAACGCUGCGCCAGUCCGCCUCUCCGUCGGUAGCCGGUUGCUUGUUCCGCCAGGUCGGACGCACCCCGCGACGUGUCGGUCUCCCCCCAUUCAAUGCCAAAAAGUUAUGCCGCGGGGCCCGGCAAUUUGUGAAAAAUUACGCCGUUACGCCAUCGUCUCCGUAACGGCCGUUAGCUCGCGGCGGUGGCGGCGGGACACCUCUGUGGUGACCCUCCAUCGCUCAGAUGCGUCGCGUUUACCGAAGCAUCACCGGUGCUGACGGUCCACGCGUCACAGGAUCCGUUUAGGAAGCAUAAAAAAAAUGAAAAUAUUUUUCUCACCCGUCUGUGUUACCCCGGAAGGUACGACAAAGUACCGUGUGGAUCCCAUUCGAUAUGCCAAAUGGUAAAGCAGGUGGAGUUUUAGGGAGGACCAAAUAGGUACGAAAUUGUUGCUCGUAAGAAAGAGCUACACUCGCCGUCCCGGUCUGCUAAAGCUACUCGUUUGUUGAUUGGAGCAAACAAGUGGGGGCGCUCUUGGGGCCUACAGCACGGCUGGGUAAGCGUCGAUUAGGGGACAUGUUAUCACGUCGGUGGUGUGUUAAUUAGGAAGAUAAUAAGAGGUCACAGUCAAAGCUCAAAAGCGACAAAAAUAUUACCUUAAUCCUCGCCAAUUAUUCCUAAUCCAUGCUUAUGCUUUUGGGCAUCGAUAAUGAUGGGUGAGGUGAGAUGUAUGUCAUCAAGGUUACCACGUCGGUGACAUUACCGAUUAGAAACAUAUUAAUACGCAAAGUCAAAUCUCAUGAGACGACAGAAACCAAUUACGAGUAACUCAAGUUAGUAGUUUUGGGUGUUGAUAAUGAUAGUGAAUUGGAGCGAUGACGGGCCAUAUGCCGUCAUGUCUCAUCGUGGUUUGAUCACCGGAACAGAUACGCAUUGUAUAAUAAUGGCAUGUCUGGAUCGUCGUAUGUAUUAUUAUUCCCACUCUUAAAGGGCGUCAGGUUUGAACGGCCAUUUAGAUAGAUCCAGUAAGGAAUAAGAUUUACUGAUAGAUCAUGUUCUGAGCCGAAUAAGAUUACUCGGCUCAACGAGUAUGACUUUACUGUUACUGUACUUGGAACAGUAAAUCACAGCUCUCCUCAUGUAUAAUUUAUCCUUGUUCGAUAAUAAAAAAAUAAAUAAUAAUAAUAAUAAUAAUAGAAGUCCGUACCAUAGACGUGAUGGUGAGAAUGAGGAACAGCGGGAUGACAGGUGUGAAAUGUAGGCAGUGCUUAGCACAUCUCGAGGUUGAGGCUAACGAUUUGUAGUGUUAUUAUUGAUGUAAAAUAUUGGUGGUUUGAUUCGAAUGCCACACCAUGGCGUGUUGUCGUAUUAAGCAGCACUGCUCAGGAUGUGCUAACCACUUGAUGUUUAUUAUCUUCAUCCGGUGAGAAACAUGUAUUAUUAUUUUACCAUUUCUAUUCCAAAUGAAGUUUCUAGAAUUUUUACUAAAAUUCAUCAAAAUCAGAUUUGUUAACCAAGUUUUAUUCCUCCCACUAGAUAGAAUUGAUCAAAAAUAUUAUCUUCAUCCUCGCCAAUUAUUCCUCCCAUUAGAUAGAAUUGUGCCUAAGUUUCGACGCUUCCAUCAAGACUAUGAGCAUGACAUGAAAGACUACCAUGACUUAAAACUACCAAGGUUAUCUCAAUCGCUACCUACACAAGGUACAAGAGACAUCUCUAAGACCGCAUGGGCUCAUUGAUUACAAGGUGGAUGUAAUUAUUGGUUGGCCUACAUUAAGAGAUAACAGUACGUUCUCCUGUAAAAAACUAGGCACAAGAACCAUACACUAAGAGGUUUCACUUGAUGGGCAACCUUCUACUCUUGUUCAAAGAAGGGGAAGCUAAGCACUUAGAGCUCUUGUCGUGUUGCUCAAAGUUUUUAAUGAACUAGUAAAAAGGAUCCUGGUUGAUACCAAGAGUUCUAUCGACAUAAUAUAUUUUAAUGCCUUUCAAAUGAUUGAUCUAAGCACGAAUAUCUUCAACCCAUCUCAUCUAGACUUACUAGCUUCACUGGGGUCAGAGACAAUAGACCUAUAUGCUACGUUCGGAUCGGGUGCCCAACCCUCAUUUGUUUAUGUGCGAUUAUUUCAACUAUUAUAUGACACUAAAGUUUUUCACUAAAUGUCAUGGACAAAACUGUAAACGGAGUAUUUGAUGUAAUGCUCAUGUAUAUUUGUGUCUUUCAAUUUUAUUCAUGUUUUGCAUAGCAUGAAAAUGAUUGAUAGUAACCUUAGUAACCCAAUUUUCUUUGGUUUUGAUAGUUGUCUCGACUUCCUCCUCUAGGAGCCCACACUCGGCUUCUUCACUAGACUCGAAUUUCCCUUUUUGUCGUAGGCGGAGAAAACUCACUGUGAUUAUCGAGUCCAUUGGAUCUGACGAAAGCAACCUUCCUAUUAGUUGGAAGCUUGUUGUUGUGGCCUUUUGGGAGCUUGAGGCCGAGAUGAUCGUAGCACGUUUGGGAUAUCGUACGUUGAUACCCAAUGUGCCAACUGUUAAGGAGUGUUGCUUGGGUUAAAGGUGGCGAUCCCAAUGGCCUACCUAGUACUCUGCCCUCUUCUCCUCUUCUGCUUAGAGCUGCUUCGUUGCUUGCUCCACUGCCUGCUAUAGACUGAUGCUUUCCAUGUGAAAGGAAGCUACCUCCACGUCCGACCUCAACAAUGCCUCGAUGUCACCUUGUUCGUCGAUUGGCCAAAUCCAUCAAACGACAAUGCUCCGUUACUAGACUCAAAGAUUCUCUCGACCUCAUUAGCAAUCUCUCUCUGCAGCCCUCACUGUGAACUUGUCCUUUUCUUUGACCUGAUCAAAUGGUGUCUCUGCAAAG
rnacentral:lncRNA from 1 species